rnacentral:sRNA from 2 species
AAACUAACAAAGCCAAAUCUCAAUCAUUGAGAACGGAGGACCCGAUCUUUUGGGGUUAAUUCUGCAUUGCAGAAGGGAUGAUAUAUACUCUUUCGCCAUCCUAACCCGUCAGCUAACUUCGUCGGCUAAUGCGGAGGAGGU